rnacentral:tRNA from 1 species
GGGGAUUUAGCUCAGCGGCAUAAGCGCCUGCCUUGAAAGCAGGAUCGAAGCAUGAGUUCGAUCCCUG